UCCGAAUUGGUGUAGGGGUCAACAUUGCCGCUUCUCAAAUUUGCUUACCUAAGCAUUUAUGACUUCGUAAUUUGGUCGCGGCAGCCCGGGGUUCGAUUCCCCGAUUCGGAA